AACGAACGCUGGCGGCGUGCCUAACACACGCAAGUCUCACGAGAAUUGGGUAGCAAUAUCCAUAGUAAAGUGGCGCACGGGUGAGUAAUACACAGAUAAUCUCCCUAAUAGAGGGGGACAACCUGUCGAAAGACGGGCUAAUUCCCCAUAAGCCCCGAAGCUCAUAAAGAGUUUUGGGGGAAAGAUGGCCUCUACUUGUAAGCUAUCGCUAAUAGAUGAGUCUGUGUCCCAUCAGCUAGUUGGUGAGGUAACGGCUCACCAAGGCUAUGACGGGUAGCUGGUCUGAGAGGACAAUCAGCCACACUGGAACGGAAACACGGUCCAGACUCCUACGGGAGGCAGCAGUGGGAAAUAUUGGACAAUGGGGGAAACCCUGAUCCAGCAACGCCGCGUGAGGGAAGAAGGCCUUCGGGUUGUAAGGUACUUUCAGCGGGGAGGAAGGGAGUAAAGUUAAUACCUUUGCUCAUUGACGUUACCCGCAGAAGAAGCACCGGCUAACUCCGUGCCAGCAGCCGCCGUAA
rnacentral:rRNA from 1 species